AGACAAUUUAGCUGCAAAAUCUGUCACCCAACUGAUCACAAAGUUUGAUUUGGAUGAUCUGGCUGGCUAGCCAGUUACCAGCUUCUUCAUUCACUGUUCCGUUUGCAUCCUUCCCAAAGCUGUACACUUAGUGGAAGAAAACAUCCAUCACAGAUAGGAGUAUACCAUUCUUUGGUCUCUUAAAAAAUUACUUUUUCAGGG
rnacentral:sRNA from 1 species